GAGUUUGAUCCUGGCUCAGGACGGACGCUGGCGGCGUGCUUAACACAUGCAAGUCGAACGGUAAGGCCCCAGCUUGCUGGGGUACACGAGUGGCGAACGGGUGAGUAACACGUGGGUGACCUGCCCCGCACUUCGGGAUAAGCCUGGGAAACUGGGUCUAAUACCGGAUAGGACCGCACCGUGAGGGUGUGGUGGAAAGUUUUUCGGUGUGGGAUGGGCCCGCGGCCUAUCAGCUUGUUGGUGGGGUAAUGGCCUACCAAGGCGGCGAUGGGUAGCCGGCCUGACAGGGUGGACGGCCACAUUGGGACUGAGACACGGCCCAGACUCCUACGGGAGGCAGCAGUGGGGAAUAUUGCACAAUGGGCGGAAGCCUGAUGCAGCGACGCCGCGUGGGGGAUGACGGCCUUCGGGUUGUAAACUCCUUUCACCAUCGACAAAGGUUUUCUGACGGUAUAUGGAGAAGAAGCACCGGCUAACUACGUGCCAGCAGCCGCGGUAAUACGUAGGGUGCGAGCGUUGUCCGGAAUUACUGGGCGUAAAGAGCUCGUAGGUGGUUCGUCGCCUCGCCUGUGAAAUUCCGGGGCUAAACUCCGGGCGUGCAGGCCAUACGGGCAUAACCUGAGUACUGUAGGGGAGACUGGAAUUCCUGUUGUAGCGGUGAAAUGCGCAGAUAUCAGGAGGAACACCGGUGGCGAAGGCGGGUCUCUGGGCAGUAACUGACGCUGAGGAGCGAAAGCAUGGGUAGCGAACAGGAUUAGAUACACUGGUAGUCCAUGCCGUAAACGGUGGGCGCUAGGUGUAGGGGUCUUCCACGACUUCUGUGCCGUAGCUAACGCAUUAAGCGCCCCGCCUGGGGAGUACGGCCGCAAGGCUAAAACUCAAAGGAAUUGACGGGGGCCCGCACAAGCGGCGGAGCAUGUGGAUUAAUUCGAUGCAACGCGAAGAACCUUACCUGGGCUUGACAUAUACGGGAUCGCCGCAGAGAUGUGGUUUCCCUUGUGGCUCGUAUACAGGUGGUGCAUGGUUGUCGUCAGCUCGUGUCGUGAGAUGUUGGGUUAAGUCCCGCAACGAGCGCAACCCUUGUCUUAUGUUGCCAGCACGUUAUGGUGGGGACUCGUGAGAAACUGCCGGGGUCAACUCGGAGGAAGGUGGGGAUGACGUCAAAUCAUCAUGCCCCUUAUGUCCAGGGCUUCACACAUGCUACAAUGGUCGGUACAGUGGGUUGCGAUGCCGUGAGGCGGAGCUAAUCCCUUAAAGCCGGUCUCAGUUCGGAUCGGGGUCUGCAACUCGACCCCGUGAAGUCGGAGUCGCUAGUAAUCGCAGAUCAGCAACGCUGCGGUGAAUACGUUCCCGGGACCUUGUACACACCGCCCGUC
rnacentral:rRNA from 1 species